ACACCUGACACACCAUGAUGCUGAAGUCAAGUGAACGUUUUUUAUAUGGCAUCAAAGUUCUAUGUCUGGAACUAACUGUAACCCAACAGCUAAUGCUCACUGUAACAGCAUGCUGAGAUAGGAACAGGAAGUGCACAGAGAAGAGGAAAGAAAGAUAAAACAGGGCGACUAUUCAAGCCAAACUGCUCUGAGAAAUGUCCACUCAAGCUGCCAGGGACUUAAAUACCAAAGGAAAGAAAAUGAUGUUUGCAUACAGCACGCUGCAUUUCUGGAUCCUGUGCUUACAGAAGGUACACCCGAGCGAAGAGCUGAGAUGUAUGCAGCUUGCAAAGAAACAAAUGCUGUCAGGACAUCAGUCAAAUCCUCCACAAGCCCUACAAUAAAGACAAACUUGCCUCGACUACAGCGGCUGAGAGGCUACAAACUACAUUUCCCAGGCUCCCUGGCAGCUCCAGGUCUAUGUGUGAUGUGGACUCUGACAAGCAGACAUAUUCACAGGAGAUUUGGAAGGAGAAAAUGUGGAGCAGUGGCUGUACAGGGAGAUUGGCUGCUAUUAUGGACCCCGUGCGUGUGAUUGCCUGGGGGCAGCUAUGGCAGAUUCUCAUGUCCACUACCUAGUAACAGCAAAGCUGAGUAUGAGCAACAUUAGCAAGGGAGUAACUGCCAGAACAGUCUUGGUUCUCUUGGGUUCAUAAUAUCUUGUAAUAAACCGUUCUCUGCUUAAA